GGCUCUUCUUCGAGUCUUCUCAGAGGUUGGAGAUUCCCUGUCUUCUCCAACCUCUGCCAAGUCUUCAGAGAGGUUGGAGUGCGCCUGUCGGAGGUACUAGACCCCAGAUGAGGAUCUCAGGAAGAUCCACAAAGCUGCGUCCAGGGGAACGAACGUGUGGAAGCUGCAGCGGAGCCUCCUGCUCAAGAGUAAAGGACCGGUCUGAAACCUACAAGAACAGAAGAGCCAUGUGACGGGAUCCGUGGUUUGGCAGAGGAGACAUGCGAGAAGACGGAACGUUUUGUCCGAAUAGACAUCUGGCAGGGUGGAACGGAGAGAACAGGUAUGGUGGAGAGAACGUCUGAGAAGGUCGCAGGAUUCGCAGGAGCAUCGGGAAAAGAUUGCCUGCUUGCCCGAAGGAAUGGCAAGUUCCAAAGCUGUGCUGUGGGCAGUGUUUAGUUCAUGUCUGCUUUGCUGGCGGGCCGAGUAGCAACAGCUGCAGUUGGUGUGUUCUCUGAAGGCAGUAUCCGAAGGCUGGAGGGGUUGCUUUUCUUCCCAGGUGUCUUUUGAAGAGGCAGUCAAGUCAGCAGCUCGCGGUGAACUUCUGGUAACAUCGUAUGGGCUGGGUUACAGCACAUGCCGACUGCUAAGCCGGUCACUGGGGAAAACCAUGUGAUUGCUGUGAUGAGCUUAGAAUGAUCAUUCCUCCUUCGGGAGCUGGGGUGGGUUGAGGGAGUGAUAAAGAUCACGAUAACCUUGCAUUUCUCCAGCGAGAAAGAAGAAAGAAAUUCCGUGGAUAGGGAGCCAGCCAGGUUUCCUGCAGAAAAUCAUGGGAAGCUUUUGAGCAGGGGAGUCAGAAGAUGAGCGGUGAGUAUUAGGGCUUUCCGGUCACGGUGUGACACAGGGAUUGGCCAGCUCUUCCUGUAAAGGGCCAGGUGGGAAGCACUCGUAGGCCCCGUGGUCUCUGUCGUGUCUGCUGAAGCCUGCCGUAGUAGCGUGGAAGCAGUCAGAGAUGACGUGUAAGCAAAUGGUCCCGACUGACCUCCGGUAAAGCAUUGAUUCCGGAAGCAUUUAACAGACCUAACAACCUUUCAAACCGCAUGGCGUUUCUUUCCCGGAUCCCGUUUCAGGAACGUUUCUGUUGGCUACAAGGACCGUCUCCAACAUGCUUAGGCUCUGUGAACUUUCCCAGGAUCCUGAGUAGGGUAUCCGCCAUUCGUCCUUAGGGCUCCGGGAUGUCUCGUUCUUACUGUGUCCCUGCCAACCCUGGUCCCAUCUCGUCAUGAUCACCCACUGCAGAAGAGAGGAGGUGCUAGAGUGAACAGGGUCAGGGGAGCCCCGUUCAUCCCCAGGGUCCCAGAAUGAACCAGUGUUACCAUGUACCCCUGCCCUUGCCUUCCUCCCUGCUCUAAUGGCCGUGUGUUAGCCGGAGAUCAGUUUGGGUCUGGGUGCUAUGGGUCUGUUGCGCCUGUGGCCUUGGUCCGGCCUCUGUCCUUGUCUCUGUGAAAUGAGAGUGACUGUGCCUGAGAGCGUUCCAGCAAGACAAUGAUGAUCUCCACUGUCUGAUUCCCGCUUCCCAGGUUCUCACAGUAGACGAGGAGCCUGUUUUUCAGCUAGCUGCCACAAGGGGGCUGGAAAUUUCUCCCUUCAGAGUGGACCUGGAAGGCUUGGAAGCAUCUGGAGAAGGGCAUGGCCACGAGUAGAGAAAUCCAGGCUACAGGCAGAAGUGGGAGGAAGCGAGAGAGGAAGACUCAUGGAAAGCCUUGCUGCACUCGCCAAAAGAGCUGCCCUCGGACUCAAGAGGGCCACGUUCAAUGUCAACCUGACAUAAGGUAGUCACCUCUGGAGCACUUGUGGCCUGGGGCAAAAACACAGCUGGAUUGAAGGAAGAGUCUUCCCUGUUCCCAGAGGGGCACUGACUGGAAAUGAGCAUGAAGGUGGGGUCCCUAAAGGGCCACAGAACGAGGCCCUAUGCAGGUGUCGGUACAGACUGCCCCAAAAGCCCCCUGAGAAGUUGGUCCUGGGGUGUAAGAGGAAGGCACAGUGAAGAGCAGGAGUGAAAGCUGCUUCAGCACUUUGGAGCAGGAAGGAAAGGAAGUGAGAUACAGUUGGAAGAGGGCGAAGCGGGCAACCUGAGGGAUGGAGUGCAGGGUUUGACCUUCGAUUCUGGAUCUCCUCCAUUAGCAGGCUUCCGGGGUGGCGUUGUUGCCUCUCUGCCGAUCCUUCCUUCGGGUGGGGCUGUCGACUGGCACCACGGCCUGUCAGACCGUGGGCGGGGGGCGUUGCAGGCACAGUGCGGUUCCUAGUCUUAGGCAUGCUCACUUGAGGCGUUCUUCCCCUACCUGUCGACUGAUCUCAGAGGAAGGAGACUGAGCUGCUCAGCCCUGCCGGUGUGGCUGGCAGGGUGUCCCGCAUUAGCCCAUGUGCCCGAGGUGGAGUACAGGACUGGACCUUGGACUCAGGGUCUCCCGCGUCGGCAGCAUCGCUGCCUGUCCUCUGAUGCUUCCCUCGGCGGGGAAGAGGGGGCUGUUCACUAGCACAGUGGCCUGUCACCAUCUCAUGGGGGUGCGGAGGCGCCGUGUGCUUACUGGAGUUGUUCUCAUGCUCUCUUGAGGCGUUCCUCCCACAAGCAGAUGAAUGUGCCCAGGGGAAAACAUCCCAGAUCAGUGAACCUUCCACCAGUUUGCCUCUCAGGGUGCACGUGUGAGCCCAUUCACCCAACUCCCGAGGUGUGCUGGGGAGGCUUCUGAGGUUCGUGACUGCUGUGGGGGAGGGGGACUGCCUUUCCCUGGUGCUGCCUGUGAUCAGUGAUUUCUCUAGAGAGUCUGCUUCGUGACCACCGGGCCAUCACCUUGCGGCUGCCUGAUGUUUACUGGUGGUGGGGAACCCUCUCGGGCCCCGCUCCACACGUGUGACUGAGAGGGACACCUGACAGGAUUGAACGCGUGGCAGAUCAUCCGACGAGAUGGAGUGUCUGGUGGAAGGAACAUCUGACAGCCCUGAGCGUGUGGCAGAGGGAACAUCUAAGCAGACUGCAGCGAUUUCAGAAGGAACGGCUAAGAACAUCGCAUGGUCAGCAGGAGGAAACCUUAGGCAG
rnacentral:lncRNA from 1 species